UCCCCCUGACAGAAGCUCCUGUCUGGGUUGCUGUGGGCUGGUGGGACUGUGGUUUCCAUGAAAGAACUGACUUCAUAAUGGAUUAAAGCAAUGCUGGAGAAGCUGCAGCCCUAGCAAGUCAGGGCCAACCCAGGUCCUCUCUGAGAGUUCAGGGCCUUCAUGGGGAGGCCCCACCCAGAUCCAAGGGGUCCAGGAAGAAUGGAGCAAAUGAAGGUGUCUUUGAGGGUUAGGGAUACUGGGGUUACUUUCAAAGUUGUUGCAGGAAGAUACCCAGGGCAAAAAUGAGCAUUUUAAGAAGAGAGUAUUUAUUACAAGCAUGGUAAAAAAAAGAAGCCCUAACUCGGACUCUGAAGGAUCCUCCUUGUAAAAAUCUUGAAGCCUGAUUUUGAAGAGCCUGGUAAUCACUACAGCACCAGCAACUGGGAGGGUGAGAACUUGCCUGAAGUCCUGUCCCUGGAUUUUCCUCAUUGCAUCAACAAAAUGAGAUACCAGAAGCUCUGAGAACAUGUUACUUCAGAGGUUGAAAUUACAGACUCGUAGCAGCCAAAACAGCUAUUUGCAGUAAUAACUAUUCUAGCACAGAGCCAAGCUGUCUGGAGCUACUGUCUGGAAGAGCCUCUUCCCCAUCCCAGCAAGUGUACCCAGCAAUCAGGUGCCAUUGUGGGACCCAGGGCUGCCUGGAUAAACAUUUAUAAGAUCCAGAGGGAUCAUUAGCAAGGAGCAGAGGAUGUCUCUGUUUGAAUCUCCAACAGUCACUGUAAAUCCAAAACUGAGCUCAGUCAUUGCCCUUUAACUCAGAAAUUCACAUGAUGCAAUUGGGUGGAAAGAGGACAACUUAGAUCAGAUGUUCUCAACCUUGAAUUAUGGAGGAUCUCUUACUAAUCCAGAUGCCCAGGCUACACUCCAGAGGGUUAACUCAAAAACUCUGAGGGAGAGGUCCAGGCAUCUUUAUUUUAAUUUUAAAAAAUGGG